UACGUAGGGGGCGAGCGUUGUCCGGAUUUAUUGGGCGUAAAGAGCUCGUAGGCGGCUUAGUAAGUCGGGUGUGAAAACUCCAGGCUCAACCUGGAGACGCCACUCGAGACUGCUAUGGCUAGAGUCCGGUAGGGGACCACGGAAUUCCUGGUGUAGCGGUGAAAUGCGCAGAUAUCAGGAGGAACACCGGUGGCGAAGGCGGUGGUCUGGGCCGGCACUGACGCUGAGGAGCGAAAGCGUGGGGAGCAAACAGG
rnacentral:rRNA from 1 species